CCAUUGUGCAUUUGGAGCCAAAUCAAUGAAACCCGAAUAAUUUUUUUUGACAAAUGUAAAUAUAAAACAAUGCACUUGUUCUGAUGUAUUCAUAUAUAUUUGAGCUCUCUGACAGUAGAUGGCAGCAGUGAGCCGAGUUUGAAGUUCACCCACACAAGGCACCAAAUAUUGUGCAUAUCUGUUACCUGAGCCAAUGUGCAGCUACAGAGAUGGUAUGACAGGGCACGUACGGAAAGGAUUCGUGUGAGGAAAUAAACUAUUUAUCUGCAGCCACAUACUUUAAGAGACACAAUUUUUGCACGAAGCGCUUUUGCAGGUGCUUGACCAUGGGUCGGAGUGUCCACCAUAGAGUAAGGCUAUUCACUCUGCUUUGUGCUGGUUCAUUGGCUGGUCAUCGGUUUUUGAAGUGAGGCAUUACUAACGGUAAAAUGCAGUGGAACCUGAGUGUGGUUUUACUCAUGUGGAUAAUGAUAAUCAUUGCCCAAGUGGAAAAAGUACAUCAAAGGUGGGAUUUGCAGAGGACACACAAAAUUAAAUGAGUGACAGUGGCUAUAUGUAUUAAAACAAAUAAUGGUUUGAUAGAAGCAGUUGCCUAGUCUCAAGAAGUUUGAGAGUCAGGCGCGGGUGGGGGUGCGGCGCGCACAGAAGCGCUGAGAAAGAUAAGCAGAGGAAAGCGCGUUUGUCGUGAGAGCCAAAAUGGCAGUUCCCUGAUCGCACCGCAGUGCAAGAUGCACUGCUCAGCUGUCACUACUCUCCCCGAUGAUUCACGUCUCCGGAGGCUUUGAGCGCGAUCGUUUAAUGGAUUUUCGAUGGCGAAAUUGGACAGGGAAAUUGGCUAGCGCGGAACAUCUGGCGAGAGGGAUAUAAAACCCAUAUGUUCGAACUUAAUGUGGCAGGUUCACAUGAGUCAAAUUAGCGUGACAGCGAAAACGCCAGAUCGAUGCUAACUUUUAACCAGUUUUUUUCUUCUUGAAUUGAAGGCUCUGCAAGAUGUAAAUGCAAGAAUCCUAGUGAUUUUGAGGCAAGUAGGCUAUUUUUUUUACUCUGAAGUGGCAUAAUUCAGCUGAAAAUGAUGCGUACCCAAAACGUUUUUCUAUCAUUCCGUUUCUCAGCCUAUUUGCUCACACAGUAGGUAAACUUUGCAACGCAGCCAAUAAAGAUUAAACAGCACCUGUCACUAAAGAUACGGUUGAAAUAUUGAGAUCCUGCUCUAUUUCUUCAUAAGGAUUUAUCUGUGUGUGCGUUUCACAUUGGGAACGGAAAUCUUCGAGUGUGUCAGUGCAUUAUCCGGUGAUGUGAAAGCCGCAGUAAAGCCAGUAUCUGCCGUUUGGCUAAUAGAAAGGACGCAGAUACAUUCAGCAUGGCCUGGCAUAGGUCCCAUCCCAACGUUUUGAAUAAUUAAGAGGAUCUGACAAAAGUUGGAAAAAUUAUUUGGACUUAUUCGGAUAUUUUUCACAAAUAUUUUGAUGACUUGAAAUCCUCUGAAUGUUGUUUUUUCGUUGCGGUAAUUUGUGCGUGGAAAAUCGGCUAAGUCAUGAAUCACAUAUAAUUGGAUCCACUCGGAUUUCUCGAGGUUAAUCAAACCGUCACGGUCCUCAAGUUAAGGAUGAGGCGCGUGUUGCACGCUUUGCAGCUGGAGACUCCCGGAAGGAAGAGUAUCAUUUUGACAGCGCGUGUCCAGUGAGAGAAAAGCGCCUACCGGAGACACUCGAGACGAACUUAAAUGAUUUUACUUUUAUCUUGAAUACUGGUGAUUACAAAACACAGAAAACUGAGAGAUCAGUCGGCAUAUAUGCUUACCAUUUAGGGACUGCAUGGAUAAGGAAGACAAGGAUCAAUCCCCUACACUGCGCUUUUGAGUUGUGCUGAAGUUCACCAUGGGGUGAGGAGGAGAAGAACGUGGUCAGUUUUAGGAGAGGGGUGAGUGACCGAGAACAUGGAUUGUUUGUUACUUCAAUUUACUUCAAUUUUUUGCGAUUUUUCACAGCUGGUUUCUCCCCUAACCAUUUGAUUUCCGUGGUCUGCUGAAUGGAUGCGUUUUUUAACCUGUGGUUUCAUUUGUUAUUUUUCUCCAGUUGAUGUUGAAUUACACUUGAUUUAUCUUAUAUUGGUACCACCCAGUGCACUGCAAAUGUCAACAUAAGGCAGGUAACAUUUUAUAUAGGGUGUUUGGCGCGCUUUCUGAUUUUUUUUCUUAUUCUUGUUCACUUAACUCUGGACUUCCAUCUGAUUGAUGGUGCAGACUCUAUUGCAUCAGAUGCCGUCUUGUAAAAUGGAGGAACAUGAAGGAUUGCUCUGAAAACACCCACGAUUUUGCCCGAUUGAGCCACUGCCGUACAUUUUUCAUCACACACUUGUGUGUCAAGGUGACUAGCGUGCAGGUUUCAGGGCUACUGGAUAUCUAUAAAGGGUCCAUUAAGCUCAACUAGUAUGCAAGAAGAGGCAUUUUACCCUACUUCCUUAUUCUCACUGCCAAUCCAUUAUUCUGCCUUCUAGGGGGAUAUAUUUUUAGAUUAUUUAAAAAAAAUUCACUGGGUAGAUAUAGGAUGCACCAUGUUGUUCAUAGUUCCACUGCAAGCAGAACCCUGAAUGUUACCCGGUAACAGGUUUUGAGACUGACACAAAAUUAGGCCUACUUACCAACUGACUGAGUCUCGUCAAACAGGUGCCAGCUCCACAUUCACUAUAAUCUGAAGAGGGUCUAACUGCUAACUCUAAAGUGUGACUUUAUAUUUCAAGUCAGAGCAGAGCUAACAGUACUGGGGGAGAACAGCAUUACACUCACAUUCUCCCACGUUCAACUGUUCUUUAGACCCUCUCCAUAUCCCCCCCCACUGGUCUGCUCAAGUGGGGGGGGGGCUUAACCCCCCAGGGUGGUCACCAAGGCUGAUCCCCUACCAACGGGGGUCGUGACCAUGGAAACGAGCCCGGAGAGUCCGAAUCGUGCGGUGGAGUACCUGCUGGAGCUGAACAACAUCAUCGAGAGCCAGGCCAAGCUCCUGGAGAGCCAGCGCCGCCGCAUCGAGGAGCUCGAGACCCAGCUGGACCGGGUCAACCAGGAGAACACGGGCCUGCGCUUGGACCAACACAACUCCUGUCCCGAGCCAACGCCGGUCCCCAUCCAGAACCACACCGACCAGAGCCCAACCCAGCCCUCGUCCCUGCCCCUCAACCCCUCCUCGGGCACGGGCACUGGUGCUGGCCCUCUCCACAACAGCAACAAUGGCACCGGCAGCACUGCCACCAGCCCGUCCUCCUCAACGGCGCCACCUGCUGGGCUGAACCGCGAGCGGCGGAACCACACGCGUCUGACCCGUGGGCUCUCAUGCGGGGCGGCGCCGGUCGAAAGGGAGCGGACUGGACGACUGGAACGGAUCGACAGCAGCGGAACCAACACGACCCCCGCGCCACGCAGACAAGAAGAGGAGGCGACUGACUCAUCUCCUCAUCAAUUCUGUUGCCCUGCCUCAAAUUGCAGUAGCCCCUCCUCUAGGUAACCUGUGAGUUGAUUGGUCGGUUGUAACUGUCAAUCAACAAACAUGAGUGGCUGAUCACUGAGAUGACCGGUGCAGUGAUAGGUCUGGGUAAAAGGCUUGGGAAGCCAGCUGUCAACAGGAAGGACAAAGCAUAAACACUGCCCCUGACUCCUUCACCAAACCACAGGGAGAAAGCAAGUUUUGCUCAACAUGCGUUGUGUUUGGUUGAAGACUUAUUGGGCCGUAGUGCCAUCAGCCAUCAGACUGACAGAAGGGAAAAGCCUUGACCAGGACACUCAAAGGAAACUCUUAAACGAUCAUUUAUUUACGAUCAAAUAUUGUAUGUCGGAUCUGUUUACCGUGAUGUUUUCACUGCAUGCCUGUUAAAGUAGCCACCAUGACAAGCACAUGAAUCUGUGUCUGAAAAUGUUACACUUUUUUAACGGGGUAAACACUGCACGCUGGUGGGUAUACACACACACACACACACACACACACACACACAGACACACAGACACACACACACACACACACACACACACACACACACACACACACACACACAGCACAGGUGGCUUGACACUUUCACUGUUCAAUGUGUGUUUUUGCCAGUGAUGUGGUGUCACAUACAUCAACAACAGUCUGCUGAGAGACAAAAAAUAAUCAACAGUGUAAUCAAACACUUUACAUGAGUCAUUUGGUUUUUGUGUGUGCGUGCAAGCGCGCGUGUGUGUGUGUUAGUAGUUGUUAGUUGUUGUAAGUUAGUAGUUAUUCAUGAUUGCAUAAUGGAUAGAAUCAGAUUCACUGUUUGGUGUAUGUAUUUAUUUACACUUUCAUGUGUAUGAGUCUCACGUACUGGAUCUUCGAAAAGGAUUCUCUAGAAAAAUGAAAACUUUUUCUUGCUCACUCUCUCUCUCUCUGUCUCUCUCUUUCUCUUUCUCUUUCUAUUUCUCUUUCUCUCUCUCUCUCUCUCUCCACCUAUCUCUUUGAAGCACAGAUACUUAAGUCAGAGAUAUACUGUGAUAGAAUGCUAUAAGGAAAUGAAAAAAAAAAAAUGCUUGAUUUUAAUUUAAUGCUUGAUUUGGCAGUAAUGAAUAACUGAAGGGAAUUUGACAUCUUCCUUUUAACAUACUGUAAUUAAUCUUAAAUUGCCAUUUUUUUGAGGAACGUUUUGUGGAAACAAAUGCUCUAUGCUGAUUUCCUGAAUAAUACAACAUUGUUUCACGAGGCUAGUGUCCGUUUGUUUUAUGCUGUCAACGUGUCUUCAUCAGUCCAGUGUUUCGCAUUUUAGGAAUAUAACUAUAAAACUAUAACUGGUGUUGAUUAAGUACUGAUGGUAUUUUCUUUCGUUUUCUGUAAAACUAUGGACAUGUAAACUCUCACCUUAUAUGAACUUCACAACUCUGAACAUUUGUAUUUCCCGCUUGUUUCCACUAGGGGGCUAAGACCCAACUACACAAAAUGAAACUGAGGACAAAAACACAAACACACACACACACACACACACAAAUACACACAGACACACACACAUAUAUAUAUAUAUACACACACACACACAUAUAUAUAUUUAUAUAUUGUUUGUGUGUGUGUGUGUGUAUGUAUACAUACACUCACAUGUAUUCUCUUCAACUCCAGAGGGAAGUAAACAUAAUUGGAAUUGUACUAAACCCACGUGACAUUAUAAGAGAACUCCACUGGAGUAUUUUAAUGAACAGAUCGUUAAUUAAAGCACUGAUAAGGACCCUUUGUCUUUUCCAUUGUUCACUUCAUGUCUUUCUUUCUCUGAUAAAAAGACAUUUGAAACAUUCAAGGUUGCACUGCAAGGUCUGCAUAAUCUUAGAAACAUUUUAGAUG
ensembl:lncRNA